UACAGGGGGUGCAAACGUUGCUCGGAAUUAUUGGGCGUAAAGCGCGCGUAGGCGGCUUCUUAAGUCGGAUGUGAAAGCCCUUGGCUCAACUCCGGGCCUGCAUCCGAUACUCCCGGACUAGAGGUAGGUAGGGGAGAUCGGAAUUCCUGGUGUAGCGGUGAAAUGCGCAGAUAUCAGGAGGAACACCGGUGGCGAAGGCGGAUCUCUGGGCCUUACCUGACGCUCAGGCGCGAAAGCUAGGGGAGCGAACAGG
rnacentral:rRNA from 1 species